AACGAACGCUGGCGGCAUGCCUAACACAUGCAAGUCGAACGAGACCUUCGGGUCUAGUGGCGCACGGGUGCGUAACGCGUGGGAACCUGCCCUUAGGUUCGGAAUAACUCCCCGAAAGGGGUGCUAAUACCGGAUAAUGUCUUCGGACCAAAGAUUUAUCGCCGUUGGUUGGGCCCGCGUUGGAUUAGCUAGUUGGUAGGGAAAAAGCCUACCAAGGCGCAGAUCCAUAACUGGUCUAGGAGGAUGAUAAGCCACCCCGGGACUGAGACACGGCCCGGACUCGGUGGGAGGGGGCUAGUGGGGAUAAUUGGCCAUUGGGGUAAACCCUAGUCCAGCCUGGCCGGUAUAUGAUUCAAGGCUGUGGGGUUUAAAAGCUCUUUUACCCGGAAUGGAAAUGCCGGUCCCGGGAAAAUAAGCCCCGCCUACCCCCCC
rnacentral:rRNA from 1 species